rnacentral:tRNA from 1 species
GGUUCGCCCGGUCCGGCGAGACCGCCGUGACCCUCGGCGGUAUCGAGCGCAAGCUCGAUACCGCCGAUGUCCUGAUCGUCGACGAUGCU